rnacentral:lncRNA from 10 species
CACAGUUGUUUCUGUGCUCCCUCUUAGUGCUCUGAAAUCUUGGGCUCCUCUCCCUCUUGAUUGCUGGCUGAAAAUCUUGGCUUGGCACUCCCAAGCUGCACACCACAGCUCUGGGACAAUCUCAAGCUUUAUAUCCCUUCCCAUCUUGGAGGAAUCAGAGGAAGGAAAGUUAGCAGUGGUUGUGACAGAGGGUUUUUCACUUGUCUCUUGGAGCUCCACCUCAGAAAGACGCAGAGCUGCUAUCAAUCAGUAUGAUUGGCCUAGGAUGGGGCAGCUGUGCUGUGAGACCAACCCAUGGCAGACAUCCAGCUGAUCACACUGUGUCCACAUAAGGCAAAUGCUGAGCUGUAAUCCAUCAAGCUGUUUCCAAAUCACCAGAUCUACUCCUUGGAUGAUAAAGCAAUGCAAAUUGCAGAAAUUAGAGGUGAAAUCAAAUGGUUGAAAGGAACCCUGCUUUGAUCACUUUUUGGCUAAAUUGGAGAAUUCAUUAAGUGUUUAGAUCUCAGUUAAUGUGUAGGAAAAAAUGUCUUUCUUUUAGGUUUGCAGAGUAGCUUAGACAUAUAAUGUUUAAAUCUGUGUAUAAUUCUAGCCACAAAAUCUGUGAUCAGAAAAUAUAUUUCCUUUUUCUUCUUUAUUGAUAACAAAAGGAAUGAAGAAAUUAUAGGUCUUUAGAGAUAUCAGUGUCUUUGGAUCAUGUGAUCUGAUGGAAAGAAAGAAAAUCAAUAUUAUCUGAGUGUCAGGGAUAUAGUAAUUGCUUUCACCUAUCUUGUUGUAUUCUCAUGAUAGCUUAUUGGGUGUAACCAACUACAUGUUUGUGUUUCCUCACAAACGUUAAUCCCCAUUAUGAUGAUAUUAGAAAGUGGGACUUUUAAGAGGUAAUUAGGUAAUAAAGGUGGAGCCUUCAUAAGUGAAAUUAGUGCCAUUAUAAGAAGGACCACAGAGAGCUCUCUUAUUCUCUUUCUGCCAUGUGAGGAUGCCAACAGAGAUAGUAGCUUCUAAGAUGGAAGAAGAAUCUUACCAGAAUUGAGCCUGGUCUUGGACUUCCAGCCUCCAGAACUGUGAU